rnacentral:tRNA from 1 species
GAAAGGAAAACAAGAACUGCUAAUUCCAACUACUGGUACUAACUCAUCAGGCCUUUCA